rnacentral:rRNA from 1 species
UACGUAGGGUGCGAGCGUUUGAUCGGAAUUACUGGGCGUAAAGGCGUGCGCAGGCGGGUUUUUUAAGACAGGCGUGAAAUCCCCGGGCUUAACCUGGGAACUGCGCUUGUGACUGGAAGGCUAGAGUACGGCAGAGGGGGGUGGAAUUCCACGUGUAGCAGUGAAAUGCGUAGAGAUGUGGAGGAACACCGAUGGCGAAGGCAGCCCCCUGGGCUGAGAUUGACGCGUCAG